AUUGAACGCUGGCGGCAUGCUUUACACGCAAGUCGAACGGCAGCACGGACUUCGGUCUGGUGGCGAGUGGCGAACGGGUGAGUAAUGCAUCGGAAUGUACCGUGUAAUGGGGGAUAACUAGCCGAAAGGAUAGCUAAUACCGCAUACGCCCCGAGGGGGAAAGCAGGGGAUCUUCGGACCUUGCGUUAUACGAGCAGCCG
rnacentral:rRNA from 1 species